rnacentral:rRNA from 1 species
GACAGAGGGUGCAGACGUUGUUCGGAAUUACUGGGCGUAAAGCGCGUGUAGGCGGUCAUGCAAGUCGGGUGUGAAAGCCCGGGGCUCAACCCCGGAAGUGCAUUCGAUACUGCGUGGCUAGAGUACUGGAGAGGAUGGUGGAACUCUCGGUGUAGAGGUGAAAUUCGUAGAUAUCGAGAAGAACACCGGUGGCGAAGGCGGCCAUCUGGACAGAUACUGACGCUGAGGAGCGAAAGCGUGGGGAGCGAACAGG